GCAUAACCAUAGAAAAUCGGAGAAAGAAAAGCAUGGACAAGCAAGCCUAAGUCUCACCCUAGAGAACUUCCUGCAAUGGCAGGACAGAAGUCUACCAAACCUCUCCAUUGCCCCAGUUUGCCCGAUCCACCUCAGGAUGCCUCCCAGCCCUUCCCAGUCCUCAACCACCACAUAGCCAACCUUGACUGGUCACACUCAAAGGUCAGAGCAACACGCCUGAGAAUAGAAAUCUGACCCCAAAGCCA